ensembl:snoRNA Gm25460 small nucleolar RNA SNORA17
GCCCUAGACGCAUUGCGCAUGUGUCUAUAUGUCAUAUGUGCACCAGUAGGUUGCAGAGAGGAGGGUAGCUAGUCUAAGCUCAGUGUUCUGGCCAGUGAACACCUAAAUGUGUAGUAACCCAAUCUU